CACAAGAAGAAGAAGAACACAGGUUCCCCCACUGUCUGAAAGUAGAGCGUUUCUACGAAGGUCUCGAAAACUGAACUGGCAAAAGGCAAAGAAGCAGUUAACGUCUCAUGAAAGGGAAAAUCCUCUUUGGGUUUCUACUGGUUCGUGAAAACAGAUAUUGUGUACUAAAGGACCAUUCUACAAGAUGUUUUCUUACAACAGAGGAUAUUCCUUUUCUUCUCUGCUGGGCAAACAAGGGCAUGGAUAUCUGAUCUUCUGACUGAAAGCCUGAAGAGUCUCCAUCUCCUCAGUACUGAAAGAUCAAGGGAUCGAAUAGGCAGCUUCAUAUCCAUGUGUCUUCACACUCUGGAAGUGAAAACGACUUUGGUAGUCAUGGGCUACUUUGAUGUCAUGCUGUGGAAAUGACAUAAGUGAACAGCAACCCCAGAUCCAUGCUACCCUCUGGAUCCGUGACCACAUUCUCAGAAGCCACACUUCAAGUAAAUUGCUAUUCUGUAAUGGCUAAGCAUAGAUGCCAAGGCUUCCUCCAUAAGAUGCAGGCUUCCUCCAAUGAGUGACUUUGGCUCAAAGACUCCCAUCAACUCGGCUAAAACUUUCUUGCAACUGCACUGGAAUCUCAGAUUCUCCCUAUCCAACCCUCCUCCCUUCCCUUUCUGCUUCCCAGGAAUCAUGGUCUGAGGCAUCAUGGUCUGAGGCAUCUUCCUACAUAUUCCUUCUUCCUCCUUCCUUACCCUUCACAGGUGUUUUCUUCAAUAAAUCUGUCACGUCUAGUCUUAUUUUGCAUUUUGAUUCUCAAAGGAUCCCAAUGAACCUAAGUAUUCUUGACUAAAUGCUUCUGUUACUCUGAAUUCUUGACGUUAGGCAUGAAGAGCUGAUAAGAAGGGAUUUUUAGAUUUGAACCAGUAUCUGCCUGAUUCAAAACUUCAUACUUUCUUAACACUGUUCUAGUAUUGUU